rnacentral:miRNA from 1 species
UGGUGCAAAAGUAAUUGCGGUUUUUGCCAUUGAAAGUGAUGCCAAAAACUGCAGCUACUUUUGCACC